GCCAGGUGUGCUGGUGCACACCUGUAAUCCCAGCUACUCGGGAGGCUGAGGCAGAAGAAUCGCUUGAACCUGGGAGCUGGAGUUUGUAGUGAGCUGAGAUCGCACCACUACACUCCAGCCUGGGUGACAGAGCAAGACUCUGUCUCAA
rfam:Homo sapiens chromosome 6, GRCh38 reference primary assembly.